AUUGAACGCUGGCGGCAGGCCUAACACAUGCAAGUCGAGCGGAUGAAGGGAGCUUGCUCCUGGAUUCAGCGGCGGACGGGUGAGUAAUGCCUAGGAAUCUGCCUGGUAGUGGGGGAUAACGUCCGGAAACGGGCGCUAAUACCGCAUACGUCCUGAGGGAGAAAGUGGGGGAUCUUCGGACCUCGCGCUAUCAGAUGAGCCUAGGUCGGAUUAGCUAGUUGGUGGGGUAAAGGCCUACCAAGGCGACGAUCCGUAACUGGUCUGAGAGGAUGAUCAGUCACACUGGAACGGAGACACGGUCCAGACUCCUACGGGAGGAAGCAGUGGGGAAUAUUGGACAAUGGGCGAAAGCCUGAUCCAGCCAUGCCGCGUGUGGGAAGAAGUUCUUCGGAUUGUAAAGCACGUUAAGUUGGGAGGAAGGGCAGUAAGUUAAUACCUUGCUGUUUUGACGUUACCAACAGAAUAAGCACCGGCUAACUUCGUG
rnacentral:rRNA from 1 species